GGCUUAGGAUGAACGCUGCGGCGUGCUUAACACAUGCAAGUCGAACGAAGCACUCUAAUGAGAUUGACGAAGCUGCUCUGAUUGAUUCGCCUUGAGGUGACUGAGUGGCGGACGGGUGAGUAACGCGUGGGUAACCUACCCUAUACAGGGGGAUAACAGUUGGAAACAGUUGCUAAUACCGCAUAAGCGCACAGCUUCGCAUGAAGCAGUGUGAAAAAACUCCGGUGGUAUAGGAUGGACCCGCGUCUGAUUAGCUAGUUGGUGAGGUAACGGCUCACCAAGGCGACGAUCAGUAGCCGACCUGAGAGGGUGAACGGCCACAUUGGGACUGAGACACGGCCCAAACUCCUACGGGAGGCAGCAGUGGGGAAUAUUGCACAAUGGGGGAAACCCUGAUGCCAGCGACGCCGCGUGAGCGAAGAAGUAUUUCGGUAUGUAAAGCUCUAUCAGCAGGGAAGAAAAUGACGGUACCUGACUAAGAAGCCCCGGCUAACUACGUGCCAGCCGCCGC
rnacentral:rRNA from 1 species